rfam:Schistosoma rodhaini strain Burundi genome assembly, scaffold: SROB_scaffold0006970
AUCCAUCUGACGAGUUCCAAAUAGGUUGAAAUGCACGUCGUGGAU